rnacentral:rRNA from 1 species
GAUGAACGCUGGCGGCGUGCCUAAUACAUGCAAGUCGUGCGGCAGCGAGCCCUUCGGGGUGUCGGCGAGCGGCGGACGGCUGAGUAACACGUAGGAACAUACCCCAAAGUGAGGGAUAACUGCUCGAAAGAGUAGCUAAUACCGCAUGUGGUCUAAGGAUUAAAGCUUCGGCGCUUUGGGAAUGGCCUGCGUUCGAUUAGCUAGAUGGUGAGGUAAAAGCUCACCAUGGCGACGAUCGAUAGCUGGUCUGAGAGGAUGAUCAGCCAGACUGGGACUGAGACACGGCCCAGACUCCUACGGGAGGCAGCAGUAGGGAAUUUUCCACAAUGGGCGAAAGCCUGAUGGAGCAACGCCGCGUGCAGGAUGAAGGCCUUCGGGUUGUAAACUGCUUUUAUAUGUGACGAUUAUGACGGUAGCAUAUGAAUAAGGAUCGGCUAACUCCGUGCCAGCCGCCGCGGUAA